rnacentral:tRNA from 1 species
GCCCGGAUGGCUCAGUCGGUUAAGCAUCUGACUUCAGCUCAGGUCAUGAUCUCACGGCUCGUGGGUUCAAGCCCCAUGUCAGGCU